ensembl:lncRNA
GCCACUUCAGCAAAAUUUUAACUUGCUCUAGGCCAUGGAUCACUGGAUCCCUUGAGACUUGCCAAAGUUACAAAUACUACAUUCAACAAUGUCAAGGUUCUUGGGUAAUCUGCACUGUAAUACUAAAAUUGUUAAAUCAGGUAGUAAUAUAACUGUAUAACAUGAGAAAUACUAGUAACUGAUUUUUUCCAGUUAUUAAUCAAACUGUGAAUAGAAUUCUUUUAUGGCUUAUAUAUUUAAACUACUGAGGAAUCAUUCUUGAUUAUCUAUAAAUAUGUUUUUAUUAUCAGUCACAGAUAAAUGUUUUAAUCUGUAUAAAUGAAGGUAUAAUCAAGUCUUAGGAUUUAUGACAGAAUAAAAUGAAGAAAUUUUUUAGAGAUGCACAUAAUGAAGACAGUUUUAGGGCCUGAGAUCUUCAAAGAAGGUCUUGGAUUCCUGGGCUCGAAGAAUCCUCUUGUCUCAACUUUCUGAAUAGCUGGCACUACAGGUAAAUACCAACACUUCUGGCUACAAAGUAACUCUUUAUAGGACAUCAAUGGACUCAUUAAAGUUUCCUUAAAGACAUAUUAAAAAUUUUAAAACUUUAUCAGCCAGAAGCCCUUUAGCGACAAGUGACAGGAACCUAAAUCCAAAUAGCUUCAGCCAGAGAAAACAAUACCAAAAGAAAAACUGAUUCACUUCUCUAUCAAGGAAGUCUAAAGGUCAUGUUUUCAUUAGUUGAAAAUAAGAAAUAACAAUGUUUUAAGGCUAUUGUAUCAUACCAUAGUUUGGUUCUGCUUCUGAUUGUGUAGCUACCUUCAUUAUUUUAUUUGUGUGUGUGUGUGUGUGUGUGUGUGUGUGGUUACAAAGAUAUUUGUCAAAUCCUCAGAGUUACUGCUCUAUUCCUUUCUUCUCCCUCUUCUCUGCCAUGCCUCCAUGCUAUUCUGUCCUGUGUUGGAGACAUUUGGAUAUGGACUGAAAUAUCUACAAACUGUGAGCCAAAAGAAAUGUUUGGUAUUUUGAUCCAGCAAUGAGGAAAGUAAAAAAGACAUCAUCUCAUUUAGAAUGCCCCAGAGAAGACAUCAUCAGAAUGUGCAGUACGACAUGGAUAAAUAGUCUAUGGAGUCUCUUGAGCACCAAUUUAAAGAAGAUUUACCGACUUUUGUUGGCAAGAAAACUUCGAAUCUCAAGAUCAUUUGAUAUAAUUCAGUCUUGACCAUAGACUUCAGUCAACCAAAGAAUAAUUGCUAAAGCCCUCCAAAGGUAGCAGCAGAAGAAAAUAUAUUGAAUCCAGGGUCUUUGAGAAGAUAAUCCUAUUGACAAAAUCAGACAUUCAAUACACAGAAUUACUAAAGUGAGACCAAAACACUGAAUGCAGUAUUAUCCAGAGUUUACAAUACACUUGACAACUGGGUUGCUAGAACUGUGUUGCUGUCAUUGCUGCUAUUGGAACAUCUGCCUGGAUGUCUGGAGCCUACAGUCCAACUGAAGUUCUGGGAUUGCUGCUGAUGCUGCCUGACCUGCAGUCCUCUGCAACUGACCCAUCAUCUAGUAUGAUAUUAAAUCUUUCAUCCACCUUACAGACUUUCACUAUUUCUGCUCUUCACUUUCUUCUCACUGUGCCCCCCCUUUUUUUAACAUGACCAUAGAAUCCUUGGGUCUUCUUUCUUAUUUUCCCAAUAAUUUCAUUACUUAUGCUUUAAUUAGAAAAAAGGAAAAACUAUCAUGCUUUUCAUUAGAAUUACUUAUUAUUUUAUUUCAAAAUAUACAUUUAAAGAAGUUAGUCAAAAUUUACUGGAGGAAAUGGUGUCUUAAACUAAAAGUGUAAAUAAGGAUCAAAAUGUAUAAUUGAUAUUGUGAAAUAGCAAGAAAAGGUCUAAAAGGAGUAGGGGAAG